AAGACGAUACUUUCGGGGAUCAUUUCUACAGUUCGUUACUAGAGAGGUUUCUCUGAACGUGUAGAGCACCUGAAACCACGAGGAGGAGGCGCAGCGUUGUCUCCUGAGCGUGAAGCUGGCUCUUGGUGUUGUUUUAUACAACUGCCGUCUGCCCUUGAUGAUCGUAAAAAAAAAAAAAAAAGUUUAUAUAUCACGUGGAGCAGAGUUGC